CAGAGUUGCAAAACUCCCUAAACCAUUGUGAACGUUACCUAAACCGUUGCUUCGGCGGGCGGCCCCCGGGCGCCCCUGGGCCCCCAUCGCGGGCGCCCCGCCGGAGGUCACAAACUCUUGAUAAUUUAUGGCCUCUCUGAGUCUUCUGUACUGAAUAAGUCA
rnacentral:misc_RNA from 1 species